rnacentral:rRNA from 1 species
AUACGUAGGGGGCUAGCGUUAUCCGGAGUUACUGGGCGUAAAGGGUGCGUAGGUGGUUUCUUAAGUCAGAAGUGAAAGGCUACGGCUCAACCGUAGUAAGCUUUUGAAACUAAGAGACUUGAGUGCAGGAGAGGAGAGUAGAAUUCCUAGUGUAGCGGUGAAAUGCGUAGAUAUUAGGAGGAAUACCAGUUGCGAAGGCGGCUCUCUGGACUGUAACUGACACUGAGGCGCGAAAGCGUGGGGAGCAAACAGGAUUAGAUUCCCUGGUAGUCCACGCCGUAAACGAUGAGUACUAGCUGUCGGGGGUUACCCCCCUCGGUGGCGCAGCUAACGCAUUAAGUACUCCGCCUGGGAAGUACGCUCGCAAGAGUGAAACUUAAAGGAAUUGACGGGG